GUGAACGCUGGCGGCAUGCCUAACACAUGCAAGUCGAACGAGACCUUUGGGUCUAGUGGCGCACGGGUGCGUAACGCGUGGGAAUCUGCCCUUGGGUUCGGAAUAACAGUUAGAAAUGACUGCUAAUACCGGAUGAUGACUUCGGUCCAAAGAUUUAUCGCCCAAGGAUGAGCCCGCGUAGGAUUAGGUAGUUGGUGGGGUAAAGGCUCACCAAGCCGACGAUCCUUAGCUGGUCUGAGAGGAUGAUCAGCCACACUGGGACUGAGACACGGCCCAGACUCCUACGGGAGGCAGCAGUGGGGAAUAUUGGACAAUGGGCGAAAGCCUGAUCCAGCAAUGCCGCGUGAGUGAUGAAGGCCUUAGGGUCGUAAAGCUCUUUUACCAGGGAUGAUAAUGACAGUACCUGGAGAGUAAGCUCCGGCUAACUCCGU
rnacentral:rRNA from 1 species